UUUUGCACAUUUAAAAAAAUAAUUUUCAUUUGGAAAAUACAGGGAAGAUUUUCAUAGCCCCAGUGCUAGGAGGCACACAAAUUUAUGAAGCAUUCCAUAUUUUG
ensembl:snRNA U6 U6 spliceosomal RNA